rnacentral:rRNA from 1 species
AUUGAACGCUGGCGGCAUGCCUUACACAUGCAAGUCGAACGUGAAAGCGGGGCAACCCGCAAGUAGAGUGGCGGACGGGUGAGUAAUACAUCGGAACGUGUCCAGUAAUGGGGGAUAACCUAGCGAAAGUUAGGCUAAUACCGCAUACGAUCUGCGGAUGAAAGCGGGGGAUGCGGCACUAAAGGUCUUUUGGCGAAGGUGGCCAAAGGUGAGUCAAGAGUCUUUUAGUGCNGCACCUCGCGUUAUUGGAGCGGCUGAUGUCUGAUUAGCUAGUUGGUGAGGUAAAGGCUUACCAAGGCGACGAUCAGUAGCUGGUCUGAGAGGACGGCCAGCCACACUGGGACUGAGACACGGCCCAGACUCCUACGGGAGGCAGCAGUGGGGAAGUUUUGGACAAGUGGGGGCAACCCCUGAUCCAGCCAUGUCGCGUGAGUGAAGAAGG